rnacentral:rRNA from 1 species
CAGCCGCCGCGGGAAUACGUAGGGCGCGAGCGUUACCCGGAUUUACUGGGCGUAAAGGGCGUGUAGGCGGCCUGGGGCGUCCCAUGUGAAAGGCCACGGCUCAACCGUGGAGGAGCGUGGGAUACGCUCAGGCUAGAGGGUGGGAGAGGGUGGUGGAAUUCCCGGAGUAGCGGUGAAAUGCGCAGAUACCGGGAGGAACGCCGAUGGCGAAGGCAGCCACCUGGUCCACUUCUGACGCUGAGGCGCGAAAGCGUGGGGAGCAAACCGGAUUAGAUACCCCCGUAGUCCCUGUCUCUUAUAC